rnacentral:rRNA from 1 species
CCAGACUCCUACGGGAGGCAGCAGUGAGGAAUAUUGGUCAAUGGGAGGAAUCCUGAACCAGCCAUGCCGCGUGCAGGACGACGGCUCUACGAGUUGUAAACUGCUUUUGUACCGGGGUAAAAUGCCUUACGAGUAGGGUUUUGAAAGUACGGUACGAAUAAGGAUCGGCUAACUCCGUGCCAGCAGCCGCGGUAAUACGGAGGAUCCGAGCGUUAUCCGGAUUUAUUGGGUUUAAAGGGUGCGUAGGCGGUCCGGAAAGCCAGCGGAAAAACCCGGGGGCCCACCCCCGGCGAGCCGUUGAAACUGUCGGACUAGAGACGGCGAGAAGUACGCGGAAUGCGCGGUGUAGCGGUGAAAUGCAUAGAUAUCGCGCAGAACUCCGAUUGCGAAGGCAGCAUGCCGGCUCCACACUGACGCUGAGGCACGAAAGCGUGGGUAUCGAACAGGAUUAGAUACCCGAGUA